AUACAAACAUAUAUCGUAGAUCAGAAAAGUGGUGUGAACUGUUGAUUUUUUUACCAGAGAUUUCAUUUCUGUGUGUGUCUAUACAUAUACAUAUACAUCAAUUCUCUCACUCAAAAACAUGUGUUUUCUCUCUCUCUGCACAUAUAUCCAUUCUCUCUUAAGAAUAUGUAUUUUUUCUAUCUAUUCGAUUUCGCCUCUCUCUCCAUACACACACUUUCUCUCUCUCUCUCAAGAAUGUAUGUUUUCUCUCUCUAUAUAUACAUAUCCAUUCUCUCUCAAGUAUAUGUGUUUUGUUUGUCUAUUAGAUUCAUUCUCUCUCAAGCAUAUGUGUUUUCGUGUACUUCGAUUUAGUCUCUCUCUCUCAAUAUAUGUACACACACAUUCUCUCAAGAAUAUUUGUUUUCUCUCUAUAUAUACAUAUCCAUUUUCUCUCAAAAAUAUGUGUUUCAUCUGUUUAUUUGAUCCACGACUACAGUUUCUCUCUUGUACCCAACAUGGAAGGCAAAUUCUCCCGUACCCAAUACUCCAUCCACCUCCAACGGAGCAUUGGGGAAGGGCAUAUCAGUCAUUUCACAUUUAUGCAUUACUAGUAAAAAAAAAAGAAAAACCCCUCACCAGUCACCCCCGAGCCCGAGCCCUGUCAUCCCUGGAUUCUGUCUCCGCCGCCGCCCUCGGCCAGGUUUUUGGGCGGCGGAGGAUAUCCGGGGAGGAGGGGUUCGGAGAAAAGGCGUGGCUGGUUGCCGCUCGGUGUAGGGGGGUGAGAGCAUAUCUCCAGCAGAUACGGAAAGGGGAAAUUUGGACACCCGUUAUUUGUUGGCCUUUGCUCAAACACACUUUUCAAUCGUGUCUUUACUGAGUAUCAUUAUGAUUUUGUGUUCAUUUGUUACAACACAUUUUGACGUGUGGAACUCUAUUGUCAGUCACUCAAUGGCCCUCUUCCCUCUUUGGUUACCAGCCGAGUAACGGCGCCGGACCCGUCCGUACAGAACUGCAGAUGGCCGGCGCAGCAGAACCACAACGAUCCGCCCGAAUCGAUGGGUAGGAAGCCACAAGGAGAAAGAAGCUGCAGAGGAAGAGAGAUCUCGUCUUCCUCGUAGAGCCCACUCCAGUCAUUGUGUCGCCGCCCACACAAGCGCUUGCCGCUGCGACAGUCGAGCCCCGCCGAGCUCCCCUCCGCUGCAGAUGGCCGCGCCGCGCCGACACCACCGCCCGACGCGCACCCCGCCGGCCGCCGUGCCUCGUGCUGCUGCUUUCUUCGCGCCCGACGAGCCCACGAGCUUGCCCGCCUCCACCGCCCGCGAGCCGUCCCUAGCGCCUGCCGCACGCUCACACACCGUAGUGGAGGCAGCCGCACGGGGCUGUGUCGGGAUAGAAAGCCGCGGAGUCGACGUGGGGACGCUGUUGGUGGUCAUCGAAUCGAUUCUCUCCUACGUCUGUGUCGCUUACGUGAAUUCUACACAAGCUAGCUACUGAUCGUUUUUUGAUAGGCUACUUGUAUGCACGCAUCUCGCCGGAGUUCAUCGCCGCGUCGGAAGUAAUUGGCGUGCUGCACGUGUGUUACAAUCUUGUGGUCUGAAACCAACAGGCGCAGGCCGCAGGUCAUGCCAGAGGAGGAAGAAGGUCAUUGAGUGGCUGACAAUGGAGCUCCACAUGUCAGAGUGUGUUGUAACAAAUGGACACAAAAUCAUAAUGGUACUCAGCAAAGACACGAUUGAAGGAUGUGUUUGAGCAAAAGACACGAAAUAACGGUGUUCAAGAGCAAAUUUCCCCAUACGGAAAAGAUGCUCGAUCCGAAAAAUAACCGUUACUUCAAUGGGUUAGGAAAAAAAAACUGUCCGGAAACAAGGUCCGAUCUGAAUUUUUUUCGGGGAUCCGAAUCCGCGGAGGAGAAACCCAAUAUCUUCGGUGUCCAAUCUUGUCGAAACAGGUGACCCGAUCUCUUGAAAACGGUUGGUUUCACCCGUGCUUGUCCAGAAGAGCCUUCUUCCUCCUGAAGCCGCCGCUGAUCCAGCCUCCUCAGGAUGCCGCCGCCGGCCCGCUGCUAGCUCGCGCGCCCCGCCCCUGCUGACUGCACCUCGCUGACUGCAACCAACUUAGUACUCAAACAUUUAAUUUGAUUAUUUCUCAGUUGGCGAGGUAGCAAAGAAGAUCUAGAGGUAAAUCAUCAAUCAUGGAUAAGAAAAAGAAAAUAGACAAAAAUGAAAAAAUUCCGCGACUGGAUUGAGAAGUGAGAGAGAAGGUUGAGAUAUCGAUGCUCUGCUUCGGUGCAUAGCCGGAAAGAAAAUGGAGAAAGAAAAGAAUAAAAAAUGAAUGGGGCCCACUAAAGAUUAGAGGCUAAGCACUAAGCUGCGUUACCAAUUCUUUGGGUAACGUUUUCGCCGUAGCUGGCGAAGUGAGGACGGGCUGGGCGAGCCAAAAUUUUUUAAUUUUUUUUGAGAGGUGGUGAGCCAAUUUUUCGGUAUGGCUCAUUUUGGUUGUAAAACAAACGGGUCCUUUCUGUUUGGCUCGGUCCGUUGGUGAGAUAUAAGUUAACUCUCUCUACCCAGUCUAAUAAUAGCUCAGCCCGUAAAAGAGAAAAGCAUUUCAACACCAUUCGCCCCCCUAUAGUCCCUCCCUACCUCCUCUUUUCUCCAGUCUCCUGAAUCCUGAUCCCCCCAGUCUUCCGAUUCCCCACUGCUAACCCUAGCCGCCAGGCAUUACCGGACAGCCAGGUCGGCGCCACCAUGCCCCCCACGCCGCCUCUAGUCCUAACUCGGCAACUCCUGACCGCCUGCUCGCCAUCGUGCGGCAGAGCCGCUUACAGGAACCGCUGGCGAGAAGACCCCUCAUCGGCUCCUCUCUGGAUACAUCGGCUCCUCUCUGGAUCUCGUUCAUCUACUGAGUCCGGCGCAAUGGUGUUCCGCCGUGUCACUGGGCGACCCUAGGCCUCGGCGGCGGCAACCGAGCCGUGCCGGCAUCCAGAUCCGGUCUUUCCCCGUUACCAGUGACAUAAAGCUUCCGCCUUUCCGAUCUUGGGCCUCGCCGGCGGCAACCGUGAAGGAGCUUCGACGGCGCUGUUGCAUGCGUUGGUGCAUCGCAACGGUGCUACUGCGCCUGUAGAUGAUGAAGAGGGAGAGGGCGCCUUCGGCAACCGUCGCAGGUCACCAUGCUUCUUCUCUAUACUCUUUUUAUGAAUUGUUUUUGGAUUUUUUUUCAAAUUAAACAUUUCACAUCUCCUUUUCGCCACAUUGUUUUAGGUUUUUUUUGGAGCGAGUGAGAUUUUAUUUACUAACUCUGUUCUUUUUUCCAAAAAACUUUGAACGAUAGAUCAGACUCUGCUUAUCUUUUCUAUGUCAAUACAAUCGUGCUAUGUUAUUUAUUUUUGCCUAAACCUAAUUUUUUAGGUCGAAUAUUGGGUUCUCUUUUGAGAAUCCAAACUGGCAAGUCCAGACAUUCUUGGCCCGUUCACCGCCGAGUUACACAAGUGUUUUCAUUGUGGGCCGACUAAUGUGUACGGGCUUUCGUGGGCUGACUCGAGAAUACUAGCAAGCACAUUUAGAUUCCUCUGUAAACACCAGUAUCCCAUCCCUAAAAGAAAAGGAACACAUACAACAGUCAGCCGUGUGCCCGUGUCACACUAAUCUACCCUCUAUAAAAACCGGCGACUCCAUCUCUUUUUUCCUUAUUUCUCUGGAAUUUCAUUGCCAUCCCCCUCCUCCCCAUCAGCUCUCUCCGCUUCUCCAUGCUUGGCGUUCCUCCCUAUAGCCCAUCUCGCCCAAUCCCCAUCGCUCCCAUCCCAUCCCCAUACCGGUCUCUUCUCUCGUGUUCAUCCCAACCAGGGGGGUGUCUCAAGCUGGCGAAAUGCCUUCCUUUGCCUCUUCCCGGGUACUGUUUCUUCUGUUCUAAGUCUAUGCGCGUCUUUGUUUGAUCUGGUUAGGGUUUGGUAGUUAGGCUUGUGAUUUGAUACCUGUUUGAUUCUGUUAAGUACUGUUGGGAGCUGUUCAUUUCGGGGUUUCGUAGUUAAUAACUGUUUGAUCAUGUUGCUGUGAAUUGCGUAUAUUGAACUGAUUUGGUCUAGGAUUUUAUUUGGGGUUUAUUGACUCUAGACAUGGUUCUAAUCAGGUGACUUAUCUUGUGUUCUUGUCUUAGUACCCUAGUUUAUUUGGGGGUUUGGCCGUUCACAAUCUGUUUGAUUCCCUGUUGAUUGCUUUUUUUUUUUGAAGUGGAUUCCCUGUUAAUUGCUAUGAUUGGCAAAAUAUUUGUCUCCAUUGAGAGUUACUGAUUUGAGUAAUCUUACGUUCUCUAUUCCUGUCAUGCCAUUUGUUACGUUUAGCUGGAAUUCCAGAUAAAUGUUAAGAAGUUUGACUUACGACAAAGCUAGGGCAUCUUAUAUUUAGGAACGGACGUAGUACCUUUUUUGUGUGCAGUACUGUGUCCUUCUGGUCUAAUGAGUUAGUGUUUUGAGUAUUGUCUGGUUCCUUCGGUCCUUCCUAAUGUUUAUAUUGAUUUUUUGGACGGUACUCUAUAUCGUCUUGGUUCUAAUGUUAUAACCCUCCUGUCUUUGUUUAGUUCAUUUAGAAAUGCCUCAUUUUGUGUUAAUGGUGCUAUUAAUGGGCUGUGCAAGUGUACAUUACUGUGUAUUCUCAUGAUGCUACUGCUGCUGUAAUUGUUUGUAUACCGCCCUUCUUGAUUCUAAUGUUGCAUCUAAUUGUUAUGCAUAUUCAUAGCGCAAGGGUUCAUUUCAGUAGGGAGUAUAUUCGCUGACACCACUCCUUUUAAUAACUGUUUGAUCAUGUUGCUGCGAAUUGCGUAUAUUGUACUGAUUUGGUCUAGGCGUUUAUUGAUUCUAGACAUGGUUCUAGUUUCGUUACGUAUCAUUAUGGUCUUGUCUCCGUUUAUCUGGGGAUUUGGCAGUUCAUGAUCUAUUUGAUUCCAUGUUAAUUGUGAUGAGUGGCAAAUUGUUUGCCUCCAUUGGGAUUUAGUGAUGAGACUGGUUUUUCUAUUCUCGAGUGUGUUGCUCCACUAAUCUGGAUCGUCUGACUGAAUGGAAACGGAGGGCAGAUAGGUAUGGGUGACGACAUAUGCAGUGGCUCAGCAGACGGCGUCUGACGGCAUGGACGUUGUUCACGUUUGUCCGAUUGAUGUAGUACGACCUACAAACAAUAGUGAUGUCCAAAAAAAAAAUCCCUGUUUCGUGCACUACACAGCUACGGAUCUGGAUCUCUCUAUACGUUGCACUAAUAUAAUUUUUCCUCCCCCAAACAAUAGUGAUGUCGUACCUACAUGUCAUGUCUGAUUUACUUUGAAUAGUACAAGUAUUUUCCAGAUGCGAUUGAAAGCCAUGACGCACGUGUCCAAAAAGGACGUGAUAUUCGACACCAUGACUGUUGUGUAAUACUCGCUCUGAUCAUAAAUUCUUGACUUAAAUUUGCUCAAAUAUGAAUAUAUAUCUAUUUUUAAAAAACGUCUAGAUACAUGUAAUAUUUCGACAACAAUUUAGGAUCGGAGGGAGUAGUAGAUUUCGAUUGCACCCAAAGGGUAUGGGUUGCAGAUCAGAGAAGUGGUGUGAACUGUUGAUUUUUUUACCAGAGAUUUCAUUUCAUGUGUGUCUAUACAUACAUACAUACAUACAUAUACAUACAUACAUACAUAUAUAUAUACAUAUAUAUAUAUAUAUAUAUACACACAUUAUAUAUAUAUAUACAAACAUAUAUCGUAGAUCAGAAAAGUGGUGUGAACUGUUGAUUUUUUUACCAGAGAUUUCAUUUCUGUGUGUGUCUAUACAUAUACAUAUACAUCAAUUCUCUCACUCAAAAACAUGUGUUUUCUCUCUCUCUGCACAUAUAUCCAUUCUCUCUUAAGAAUAUGUAUUUUUUCUAUCUAUUCGAUUUCGCCUCUCUCUCCAUACACACACUUUCUCUCUCUCUCUCAAGAAUGUAUGUUUUCUCUCUCUAUAUAUACAUAUCCAUUCUCUCUCAAGUAUAUGUGUUUUGUUUGUCUAUUAGAUUCAUUCUCUCUCAAGCAUAUGUGUUUUCGUGUACUUCGAUUUAGUCUCUCUCUCUCAAUAUAUGUACACACACAUUCUCUCAAGAAUAUUUGUUUUCUCUCUAUAUAUACAUAUCCAUUUUCUCUCAAAAAUAUGUGUUUCAUCUGUUUAUUUGAUCCACGACUACAGUUUCUCUCUUGUACCCAACAUGGAAGGCAAAUUCUCCCGUACCCAAUACUCCAUCCACCUCCAACGGAGCAUUGGGGAAGGGCAUAUCAGUCAUUUCACAUUUAUGCAUUACUAGUAAAAAAAAAAGAAAAACCCCUCACCAGUCACCCCCGAGCCCGAGCCCUGUCAUCCCUGGAUUCUGUCUCCGCCGCCGCCCUCGGCCAGCCCGCGGCGCCGCCGCCCUCUCCCUU
rnacentral:lncRNA from 1 species